rnacentral:piRNA from 1 species
UGAAUAAAGGUUGCUAGGAAACUAGGUCA